rnacentral:rRNA from 1 species
UUCGAUUAUGGCCCAGAUUGAACGCCAAGGGAUGCUUUACACAUGCAAGUCGAACGGCAGCACUGACUGGUCUGCGGCGAGUGGCGAACGGUGAGUAAUGUAUCAACGUCAUGUAGCGGGGAUAACUACGCGAAAGCGGCUGAACAUCGCGGGACAAUACCUCCUGGGGAAAGGGGCCGCACUAUUAGAGCGCGUCGAUAUCGGAUUAGCUAGUUGGUGGGGUAACGGUCACACGGCGACGAUCCGUAAUACUGAUAUAACACCAGCCACACUGGGAACUGAGACAUUACCUCAGACUCACGGGCGGGAAUCUUGACAAUGGGGGAAACCCUGAUCCAGCCAUCCCGCGUGUGCGACAGCGUCUUUUGCUGUGGUAAAGCACUUCUUGGUAAAGAAAGAAACGGCACGGGAUGGGCCAAUUCCGGCAGCACCGACGGUACCUGCAGAAUAAGCACCGGCUAAACACGCCAGCAGCCGCGCAGUAAUACGUAGGGUGCAGUUAAUCGGAAUUACCGGGCGGGAAGGGCAGGCGUAUACCCGGAAAGAAAGAUGUGAAAUCCCAGAGCUUAACUUUUGAAACUGCAUUUUUUAACUACCGAGUUGUAGUGCAAAUGUGAGGAGGAAUUCCGCAUGUAGCAAAGUGAAACGUGACAUGCGGAGGAACACCGAUGAAGGCAGCCUGGGAUACCGACGCUCAUGCACGUAAAGUUAUGGGGAGCAAACAGGAUUAGACAACUUGGUAGUCCACGCCUCAAACGAUGUCAACUAGUUGCUUGGGGCCUUCGGGCCUUUGGUAGAAGCGCGCCGAAUGUGAAGUCGCAUCGCCUGGGGAGUACGGUCGUCAAGAUUAAAACUCAAUGGAACUGCAACAAAGCCGGUGGAUGAUGUGAAUGUCGAUGCAACGCGAAAACCUUACCUACCCUUGACAUGUCUGGAAUCCCGAAGAGAUUUGGGAGUGCCUUCCGCAGAACCGGAACACAGGUGCUGUAAGGCUGCCGUCAGCUCGUGUCGUGAGAUGUUGGGUUAAGUCCCGCAACGCGCAACCCUUGUCAUUAGUUGCUACGAAAGGGCACUCUAAUGAAUUUCCGGUGACAAACCGGAGGAAGGUGGGGAUGACGCCUGUCCUCGCCGGCCUCGGUAGGCUUCACACGUUGCUAAUGUCGGGACAGAGGGUCGCCAACCCGCGCAGGGAGCUAAUCCCAGAAACCCGAUCGUAGUCCGGAUCGCAGUCUGCAACUCGACUGCGUGAAGUCGGAAUCGCUAGUAAUCGCGGAUCAGCAUAACAAUGCGGUGAAUAUUCCUGGGUCUUGUACACACCGUCACACCGCGGUGGGUUUUACCAGAAGUAGUUAGCCUAACCGCAAGGAGGGCGAUUACCACGGUAGGAUUCAUGACUGGGGUGAAGUCAACAAGGUAC